UUGGAUUUAGUUUAAUUAAAAUUUUUGUUUUUGGAUCAAGAGAUUAUUUCCAAG
rnacentral:tRNA from 1 species